UACGUAGGGCGCAAGCGUUGUCCGGAAUUAUUGGGCGUAAAGAGCUUGUAGGCGGUUUGUCGCGUCUGCUGUGAAAAUCCGGGGCUCAACCCCGGACUUGCAGUGGGUACGGGCAGACUAGAGUGUGGUAGGGGAGACUGGAAUUCCUGGUGUAGCGGUGAAAUGCGCAGAUAUCAGGAGGAACACCGGUGGCGAAGGCGGUUCUCUGGGCCUGUACUGACGCUGAGGAGCGAAAGCGUGGGGAGCAAACAGG
rnacentral:rRNA from 1 species